rnacentral:tRNA from 1 species
CGGGAUGUAGUUCAGUUGGAAGAGCACCUGCUAUGGGAGCGGGAGGCCGCAGUUCGAUGCCUGCUAUCCCGA